rnacentral:rRNA from 1 species
AUUGAACGCUGGCGGCAGGCUUAACACAUGCAAGUCGAGCGGAGAUGAGGUGCUUGCACCUUAUCUUAGCGGCGGACGGGUGAGUAAUGCUUAGGAAUCUGCCUAUUAGUGGGGGACAACAUUCCGAAAGGAAUGCUAAUACCGCAUACGUCCUACGGGAGAAAGCAGGGGAUCUUCGGACCUUGCGCUAAUAGAUGAGCCUAAGUCGGAUUAGCUAGUUGGUGGGGUAAAGGCCUACCAAGGCGACGAUCUGUAGCGGGUCUGAGCGGAUGAUCCGCCACACUGGGACUGAGACACGGCCCAGACUCCUACGGGAGGCAGCAGUGGGGAAUAUUGGACAAUGGGGGGAACCCUGAUCCAGCCAUGCCGCGUGUGUGAAGAAGGCCUUAUGGUUGUAAAGCACUUUAAGCGAGGAGGGGGCUACUGAGACUAAUACUCUUGGAUAGUGGACGUUACUCGCAGAAUAAGCACCGGCUAACUCUGUGCCAGCAGCCGCGGUAACAC